rnacentral:rRNA from 1 species
UACAGAGGGUGCGAGCGUUGUCCGGAUUUACUGGGUGUAAAGGGCGUGUAGGCGGAGAUGCAAGUUGGGAGUGAAAUCCCGGGGCUCAACCCCGGAACUGCUUUCAAAACUGCAUCCCUUGAGUAUCGGAGAGGCAAGCGGAAUUCCUAGUGUAGCGGUGAAAUGCGUAGAUAUUAGGAGGAACACCAGUGGCGAAGGCGGCUUGCUGGACGACAACUGACGCUGAGGCGCGAAAGCGUGGGGAGCAAACAGG